rnacentral:rRNA from 1 species
GUAGGUGGCAAGCGUUGUCCGGGAAUUAUUGGGGCGUAAAGCGCGCGCAGGCGGUUCUUUAAGUCUGAUGUGAAAGCCCACGGGCUCAACCGUGGAGGGUCAUUGGAAACUGGAGAACUUGAGUACAGAAGAGGAAAGCGGAAUUCCACGUGUAGCGGUGAAAUGCGUAGAGAUGUGGAGGAACACCAGUGGCGAAGGCGGCUUUCUGGUCUGUAACUGACGCUGAGGCGCGAAAGCGUGGGGAGCAAACAGGACUCGAUACCCUGGUAGUCCACGCCGUAAACGAUGAGUGCUAAGUGUUAGGGGGUUUCCGCCCCUUAGUGCUGCAGCUAACGCAUUAAGCACUCCGCCUGGGGAGUACGGCCGCAAAGGCUG